rnacentral:rRNA from 1 species
AUUGAACGCUGGCGGCAGGCCUAACACAUGCAAGUCGAGCGGAGCGGCGGACGGGUGAGUAAUGCCUAGGAAUCUGCCUGGUAGUGGGGGAUAACGUCCGGAAACGGGCGCUAAUACCGCAUACUAUCAGAUGAGCCUAGGUCGGAUUGGCUAGCUGGGGGGGAAAUGGCCGACCAAGGCGACGAGCCGUACCUGGUCUGAGAGGAUGAUAAGGCACACUGGAACUGAGACACGGUCCAGACUCCUACGGGAGGCAGCAGGGGGGAAUAUUGGACAAUGGGCGAAAGCCUGAUCCAGCCAUGCCGCGUGUAUGAAGAAGGUCUUAGGAUUGUAAAGCACUGUAAGUUGGGAGGCGUUACCAACAGAAGAAGCACCGGCUAACUUCGUGCCAGCAGCCGCGGUAAUAC